CAUAUCCAACAAGGUUCACAACAACAUGCGUGCAUAUCCAACAAGGUUCACAAACAAAAGCAUGAGUUCCAAGUUCACACCAAGCAUGAACCUCAAAGAUGCAAUGAGCUCCACCAUAGCAUGUAUGCCCACCGUCAAUGGCAUCCACGAUGCAAACCUAUAAGUCCAUUACCAAACGCAUGAGUUUCCAAAGUUAAGUUUCAAAUGAUCGAUAAGGCACAAGAGUCAACAAGCCGUAUGAGUUUCCAAAGCUAUGUUUUAAAUGAUCGAUAAGGCACAAGAGUCAACAAGCAUCAACAUAUAAGGUUCAAAUUGAAGCUAAGAAGUAUGAACAGUAUAAGCAUCAACACUUGUGGGAUCUACUAUCAACAAUGCACAAGUUGUAAGUUGAGAAGCACAAAGACAGGACGCAAGCAUCAACAAUGAACAAACAUAGACAACUACCUCGAGUGAUCAUUGUUGCAAGGAGGUCGAAGCCGUAGUGGGUGUCACCGGGCUUGCUUGGGUAGGUAUGGAUCCAAGUACCAAGAAGUUAUUUGAGGCUUGUCCCGACUGAGAACACUUCAAGCAUGAGACGGUAAGAUGGUAAGAUGCAUGAUAUUUAAGCAUGAUUGUAAGAUGCAUAAUUAAAAAGUUGGAUGACUUACAAGCUUAAAGUAGGAAGAGGCGAAAGAGGAGGAAGAUCCGGCAAAGUAGAACCCUGCAUGUUAGUUUUGAACUGAGAAAACGUAUCAAGCAGGGCCGCCUGUUGUUUGGCUAUGAAUUCCUGUUGUUGCAAGAGGGCUUGCUGCAUUUUCAUGGCUUGCUCCUGUUGAAGGAGGGAAUUGG
rnacentral:lncRNA from 1 species